rnacentral:tRNA from 1 species
GCCGAGGUGGCGGAAUUGGUAGACGCGCAUGGUUCAGGUCCAUGUGAGCGAAAGCUCGUGGAGGUUCGAGUCCUCUUCUCGGCACCA